AAAACUUUCAACAACGGAUCUCUUGGUUCUCGCAUCGAUGAAGAACGCAGCGAAAUGCGAUAAGUAAUACGAAUUGCAGCCUUCGUGAGUCAUUGAAUCUUUGAACGCACAUUGCGCCCGCGGGCAUUCCCGCGGGCACGCCUGUUUGAGCAUGA
rnacentral:rRNA from 1 species